rnacentral:rRNA from 1 species
UGAGUACGAGAUGCUACGGCAUCGAAGCAGUCUAUGUCAUACUUCCAAGAAAAGCUUGCACUGUCAUAAACAAAGAAUGCCUGUACCAUAACCGACACAGGUGGGUAGGUAGAGUAUACUAAGGGGCGCGAGAUAACUCUCUCUAAGGAACUCGGCAAAAUGACUCCGUAACUUCGGGAGAAGGAGUGCCUUAUUUCUAAGGUUGCAAUAACAAGAUCCAAGCAACUGUUUACCAAAAACACAGGUCUCCGCUAAGUCGUAAGACGAUGUAUGGGGGCUGACGCCUGCCCAGUGCCAGAAGGUUAAAGAAGUUGGUUAGCAUUAGCGAAGCUGAUAACUGAAGCCCUGGUGAACGGCGGCCGUAACUAUAACGGUCCUAAGGUAGCGAAAUUCCUUGUCGGGUAAGUUCCGACCCGCACGAAAGGCGUAAUGAUUUGGAUACUGUCUCGGAGAGGGGCUCGGUGAAAUAGACUUGUCUGUGAAGAUGCGGACUACCUGCACCUGGACAGAAAGACCCUAUGAAGCUUUACUGUAACUUGAGAUUGAAAUUGGACUUUAUUUGCGCAGUAUAGGUGGGAGGCGUUGAGAAUAAUCUUGCGGGAUUGUUGGAGCCAUCAGUGAGAUACCACUCUUGUAAUGUUAGAUUUCUAACUUUGUAUCAUUAUCUGGUCAAAGAACAGUUUCAGGCGGGCAGUUUGACUGGGGCGGUCGCCUCCCAAAGGGUAACGGAGGCGCACAAAGGUUUCCUCUGAACGGGUAGAAAUCGUAUCUAGAGUGUAAAGGCAUAAGGAAGCUUGACUGUGAGACCUACAAGUCGAGCAGGGACGAAAGUCGGUCUUAGUGAUCUGACGGUGCUGAGUGGAAAGGCCGUCACUCAACGGAUAAAAGUUACUCUAAGGAUAACAGGCUGAUCUCCCCCAAGAGUUCACAUCGACGGGGAGGUUUGGCACCUCGAUGUCGGCUCAUCGCAUCCUGGGGCGGUAGUCCGUCCCAAGGGUUGGGCUGUUCGCCCAUGAAAGCGGUACGCGAGCUGGGUUCAGAACGUCGUGAGACAGUUCGGUCCAUAUCCGGUGUAGGCGUUAGAAUAUUGAGAGGAGCCUUCUCUAGUACGAGAGGACCGAGAAGGACAUACCUCUGGUGUACCAGUUAUCGUGCCAACGGUAAACGCUGGGUAGCUGUGUAUGGAGUGGAUAACCGCUGAAAGCAUCUAAGUGGGAAGCCCACCUCAAGAUAAGUAUUCUC